rnacentral:misc_RNA from 1 species
AGCAGCCGCGGUAAUUCCAGCUCCAAUAGCGUAUAUUAAAGUUGUUGCAGUUAAAAAGCUCGUAGUUGAACUUCGGGGUUUACUCAUUGGUCAGGCUUAAUUGUCUGUACUGGUGAGAUGAAUCUCUACCUUCUGAGGAACUUUCAUGCCAUUUAUUUGGUGUGAUUGGAAAUCAGGACUGUUACUUUGAAAAAUUGAGUGUUUAAAGCAGGCUAACGUCUGAAUACAUUAGCAUGGAAUAAUGAAAUAGGACGGAUUGAUUCUAUUUCGUUGGUUUCUAGGGUCACCGUAAUGAUUAAUAGGGAUAGUUGGGGGCAUUAGUAUUCAAUUGUCAGAGGUGAAAUUCUUGGAUUUAUUGAAGACUAACUACUGCGAAAGCAUUUGCCAAGGAUGUUUUCAUUAAUCAAGAACGAAAGUUAGGGGAUCGAAGACGAUCAGAUACCGUCGUAGUCUUAACCAUAAACUAUGCCGACUAGGGAUCGGACGAAGUUAAUUAAUAAUGACGACGUUCGGCUAACC